UGUUGGUUAACCUGUAUUGUAUUUUGUAUUUCUUAACUACAUGUAUCAAGUUAUGUAAUGUAAAAUCUAUGCUUUUUCCUUUUAUUCAUUUUUAUUCUUGAAAAAAUGAAUAUGUUACUCUGCAAAAAUAAAUGUAUGUGAGUUUUUAAACUCAGUUAAAAAUCAAGAUUUCUAUGUGAAUACAUUUUACAAGCAAAUAUAGCUAUAAUGAUAUGCUGCAUUUUGUCUACCUCAGGUGAAAUAAUGAAAUUGUGACAAAUCACAACUUUUCAUCAGUAUGAGAUCAAUGGAUAUAUAUAAUAGAUUGAAAAACAAAUAUAUACAUAUAAUGAUUAAUGAAGACUUCACAGUUUGUCAAUCUUUUUCUAUAUUUUAAACUGAACAAUGUGAAAAUUACAUAUUUUCUAAUAUAAGAAACAGGAACCUGUCCUUGAGAAGGUUAAUAUAUAUAAAAUAACAAAAAACAAGACUCUACCGAUAGGCCUUUCUGUCCUCUCAGGCUUCUUCAGAGACGGCAGAAAGGCCUAUAGCUACAAAGUCUUGUAUUUUGAUAUUUUAUAUAUAUAUCUGGCUGAAAUUCAAAAGAUCUGUUUUAAGCUUGUCAAAUAUCAACUGCAUGGACUUUUGUUACAGGGAGAUUCUGGUUGUCAGUAAUUUUGGAUUUUGUAAGAGAUCUCUAUAGGAACAAUACACUAUACACAGGUUAAUAAGUCUGACUUGGAAGUCAAACAGAAGUCCAUACAUAACUACAGGGUUCAGUCUAAGACUGGAUGAACUUUGGUUUGUGGAUGAACUUUGGUUUGUGGAUGAACUUUGGUUUGUGGAUGAACUUUGGUUUGUGGAGGAACUUUGGUUUGUGGAGGAACUUUGGUUUGUGGAUGUGACUUACCCAACACUUAAUGGGAUAUGGACAGAUUUUGAUAAAUCUUAGCAACAGUUAUACAAUACAAAGAAUUAGAAGUUAUCUUAAAAGUGUGAAAUCAGCUUAUAAUCUAAUAGUAAAGGUACAAAAUAACUAACUAGAUCAGAAAUGAGAGAUAUCUUCCCUUGUAGAACAACUGUAUUUAGUCCAACAUGCCUGAAGUUUAUCAAGUUAGAAAUUCACUUCCUCUAUGUAUGAGAGUAGAUAUAGUGUAGGGUUGGUACCACAUAUAUAGUUUACCCUCAUGGUGAAAUGUUUGUGUGUAUGAUGGGUAUAUAGUUUACCCUCAUGGUGAAAUGUUUGUGUAUGAUUGGUAUAUAGUUUACCCUCAUGGUGAAAUGUUUGUGUAUGAUUGGUAUAUAGUUUACCCUCAUGGUGAAAUGUUUGUGUGUGUGAUUGGUAUAUAGUUUACCCUCAUGUUGAAAUGUUUGUGUGUAUGAUGGGUAUAUAGUUUACCCUCAUGGUGAAAUGUUUGUGUGUAUGGUGGGUAUAUAGUUUACCCUCAUGGUGAAAUGUUUGUGUGUCUGAUUGGUAUAUAGUUUACCCUCAUGGUGAAAUGUUUGUGUAUGAUUGGUAUAUAGUUUACCCUCAUGUUGAAAUGUUUGUGUGUAUGAUGGGUAUAUAGUUUACCCUCAUGGUGAAAUGUUUGUGUGUAUGAUGGGUAUAUAGUUUACCCUCAUGGUGAAAUGUUUGUGUGUAUGGUGGGUAUAUAGUUUACCCUCAUGGUGAAAUGUUUGUGUGUCUGAUUGGUAUAUAGUUUACCCUCAUGGUGAAAUGUUUGUGUGUCUGAUUGGUAUAUAGUUUACCCUCAUGGUGAAAUGUUUGUGUAUGAUUGGUAUAUAGUUUACCCUCAUGGUGAAAUGUUUGUGUGUAUGGUGGGUAUAUAGUUUACCCUCAUGGUGAAAUGUUUGUGUGUCUGAUUGGUAUAUAGUUUACCCUCAUGGUGAAAUGUUUGUGUGUGUGAUUGGUAUACAGUUUACCCUCAUGGUGAAAUGUUUGUGUGUAUGAUGGGUAUAUAGUUUACCCUCAUGGUGAAAUGUUUGUGUAUGGUGGGUAUAUAGUUUACCCUCAUGGUGAAAUGUUAAUGUAUAUGUACUGUAUGGGUGGCAGUGUAUCAGAAUGUGUAUUGAUGUACAUGAUUUAAUUCUAUUGAGUUUUUAUUAUAUCAAUACUCCCAUAGCAUACUCUCCUACAAUGUUAAAUAUUGUGUUGAUAGGUUGUCUCCCUUGAUCCUGACCAUUGUACAUGUACAUUUUCUAUUACAAGGUACCUUAUAUUUAUAAUUUCUCUAAUAGGUAUGGCUCAAAAACACAAUUUCUCCUCUGUAUUUAAGUGUUCCCUUUGACCUGUCGAUGUACAAAAACAAAUGCUUGGGAAUACAUGUAUAUUGUAAAUUAUUAACUAGAUUAGCAUUCAGCAGGUGCUUGUUACUUGUAAUCAAAGGGAACGGUAGAAAACCUACUACUGUACCAUAGACAUACAACAUUGGGUUACAAUAAUAGUAUAUAUGUUAUAACUUAUUGAGUCAUGGAUGGGCUUAUGAUAGGACAAGGUGGUGAUAUAUUUUGUUGGUAAUUCUACUGAACAGUGAUAGAUAGGUGUAGGCUUAUUACCAGGCAUGGGCAGCUAUUGCCAGGUAAGUCUACUGAACAGUGAUAGAUAGGUGUAGGCUUAUUACCAGGCAUGGGCAGCUAUUGCCAGGUAAUUCUACUGAACAGUGAUAGAUAGGUGUAGGCUUAUUACCAGACAUGGGCAGCUAUUGCCAGGUAAUUCUACUGAACAGUGAUAGAUAGGUGUAGGCUUAUUACCAGGCAUGGGCAGCUAUUGCCAGGUAAUUCUACUGAACAGUGAUAGAUAGGUGUAGGCUUAUUACCAGGCAUGGGCAGCUAUUGCCAGGUAAUUCUACUGAACAGUGAUAGAUAGGUGUAGGCUUAUUACCAGGCAUGGGCAGCUAUUGCCAGGUAAUUCUACUGAACAGUGAUAGAUAGGUGUAGGCUUAUUACCAGGCAUGGGCAGCUAUUGCCAGGUAAUUCUACUGAACAGUGAUAGAUAGGUGUAGGCUUAUUACCAGGUAUGGGCAGCUAUUGCCAGGUAAUUCUACUGAACAGUGAUAGAUAGGUGUAGGCUUAUUACCAGGCAUGGGCAGCUAUUGCCAGGUAAUUCUACUGAACAGUGAUAGAUAGGUGUAGGCUUAUUACCAGGUAUGGGCAGCUAUUGCCAGGUAAUUCUACUGAACAGUGAUAGAUAGGUGUAGGCUUAUUACCAGACAUGGGCAGCUAUUGCCAGGUAAAUAUGGUCCGUUAUGUUUAUACUAUAGAGAUGAUAUCUUAUAUGUUACCAAUAGUGAUAUGGUAUCUAAUGUAUCAAUACUAUAAAGCAUUGAUAUCUAAUAUUUUAAUACUAGAGGGAUGAUAUCUAAUAUGUUAAUACUAGAGGGAUGAUAUAUAAUAUGUUAAUACUAGAGGGAUGAUAUCUAAUAUGUUAAUACUAGAGGGAUGAUAUAUAAUAUGUUAAUACUAUAGGGAUGAUAUCUAAUAUGUUAAUACUAGAGGUAUAAAUACUUUUAAUUUUCAAAACUAUAUUGUACUAUAUCACUCAUGACACCAGAUUGUUUUUAUGUCAAAAUCAAGGAUAAUGUAGACCUGCAAAUGUUGUUUUAAAUUUCAACUGCUAAUAGAAACGUACAUUUGUAAUUGUUACACAUGGAUUUGAGCUGAUUUCUAAGAGGAAUUUAACAGAGAUAGACGGACUGAAGUUUAGAUCUCGGAGAUUACACAUAUUAUUAUUAUCUAAUGUGCCAUUAAAACAGAUUUUGUCCAGUUUGAUGUCCAGUUUAAUGUCCAGUUUAAUUGUUGUAGUGGGGUUACACUCCUGUUGUCACAGUGGUCACAUUGUGUAUAUUGUAAGUUUUGUCUAAUGCUGUUAGUGCUGUUCAGUGUGGUAUUAUAUUGAAAUUACGUGUCCACUGUAGAAAUAUGACUGGCAGGUCUGAUAUAUGCUUUAACUUUAUGUAUUGCUGAAUAAAGAUAGUGUAUCACUGGAAAUGGAGAUAACUUUGAUGUUUACAUGUAGCUGUCAAUAUCAAUUGUACAGUGUUUUACAUUGUCAUACUGAAUAUCAAUUGUACAGUGUUUUACAUUGUCAUACUAAAUAUCAAUUGUACAGUGUUUUACAUUGUCAUACUGGAUAUCAAUUGUACAGUGUUUUACAUUGUCAUACUGGAUAUCAAUUGUACAGUGUUUUACAUUGUAACACUGGAUAUCAAUUGUACAGUGUUUUACAUUGUCAUACUGGAUAUCAAUUGUACAGUGUUUUACAUUGUAAUACUGGAUAUCAAUUGUACAGUGUUUUACAUUGUCGUACUAAAUAUCAAUUGUACAGUGUUUUACAUUGUCAUACUGGAUAUCAAUUGUACAGUGUUUUACAUUGUCAUACUGGAUAUCAAUUGUACAGUGUUUUACAUUGUAAUACUGGAUAUCAAUUGUACAGUGUUUUACAUUGUCAUACUGGAUAUCAAUUGUACAGUGUUUUACAUUGUCAUACUGGAUAUCAAUUGUACAGUGUUUUACAUUGUCAUACUGGAUAUCAAUUGUACAGUGUUUUACAUUGUCGUACUAAAUAUCAAUUGUACAGUGUUUUACAUUGUCGUACUAAAUAUCAAUUGUACAGUGUUUUACAUUGUCGUACUAAAUAUCAAUUGUACAGUGUUUUACAUUGUCGUACUGGAUAUCAAUUGUACAGUGACAUUGUCAUACUGGAUAUCAAUUGUACAGUGUUUUACAUUGUCAUACUGGAUAUCAAUUGUACAGUGACAUUGUCAUACUGGAUAUCAAUUGUACAGUGUUUUACAUUGUCAUACUAAAUAUCAAUUGUACAGUGUUUUACAUUGUCAUACUGGAUAUCAAUUGUACAGUGACAUUGUCAUACUGGAUAUCAAUUGUACAGUGACAUUGUCAUACUGGAUAUCAAUUUAUGAAUUUGGAUUAUAAAAAGAGGCAUGUGCCUGAUUAUCAUUCAGUAAAAGCUGGAUUUUAAAAUAAGAAAUUCUAUUGACAGUCCAGAAUUCCAAAACACAGUGUAAUGAUUUAUUGUUGACUCCAGUGUAAUAAUAUAUUGUUGACUCCAGUGUAAUAAUAUAUUGUUGACUCCAGUGUAAUAAUAUAUUGUUGACUCCAGUGUAAUGAUAUAUUGUUGACUCCAGUUUACUGAUAUUUUGUUGACUACAGUUUACUGAUAUUUUGUUGACUACAUUGCAGUGAUAAUUGUAGUCUAUCAAUGGAUUUUAUGCUAUUAUUGGAGAUAUACCAAAAUACAUCAGCUUGUGACUAAGCCCAAAGGAAAUACGAUAAAAUAUCGUCUUGUUUUAAUAAAAAAUGUGAAAGAAAAA